rnacentral:sRNA from 1 species
AACCCUUUCUGGAAACGCCCCGUCGGUCGGGAUAUAAAACUUCGUGGUAGCACGAUACCGGUCGUGGAACGAUCCAGCUCCUCUGCAGGUGUCAAUUCGGAGCUUAAAAUCGGAGUGUGGUCGUGUGUGGCGCAAUGGACCCAAGAUAAAUGUCCGAAUGCAGUUUGAAACGGUUGCUUGAGGCACAGUUUAAAUCCAUCAUCAUAUAUCAUACAUAAAGCGUGCAGGACAAUUAGAUGGUAUAGAACGCGUAAAGGACACAACGAUAGAAUCUGAACCUGGAACAAGUUGGAUCAAAGCAUAAAAACCCAAAAAUCAUAAUAAAAUAACAUCGCUCUUUCAAGUCGUCUAACCAACAAUCAAAAGCCUACAAACAUGCAGAAUCAAAGCAUCAAAACCAUCUAACAGAACUCAAUUCAUUGUUUCCGCCUUCAGAAACGGCUGGUCCCUCCCUUCAGACCCAGGUCCCUCCUCAAUAUGCGAGGAAAACCUCCCCACAACUACAUCCGCGCUCUUCCUCGCGUCCUCAUCCUCCAAUAUAAUAGGCGGGCCCGUAAAUGCCUUGCGCGCCCGCACAAAAUACCAAACGACACUGAUCGUCCCAAACCCAGCAAACACCACGCUCGCAUAAUUCAUCGUCGACGGCGUCACAGGUAAGGAGAUUGGCAUGCAAAACAUCGCAAUGGCCAGCGUAAUCCACGACACCGCUAUCAUAUUGAUAGUGUAGCCGAACUUCCCCAACGAAAAGGGUGCGUUUCUCACAUUCCGCCGCCCGCGGACGACGGAGACGAGAAUCGGCACGCCAUAUGAGGCCGAGAGACAAAUGGUUGCGACACCCGUGAAAGAGUUAAACGCCGCGCUGGAGCCAAAAUAUAUCAGGCCCAGCAGGCAAUCGACAAGGGUAGACAAUAUCAGACCCCAGAGCGGCACGUCGAAACGCCUACUAACUCUGCGCCACAGUCUGGAGCCAGGUAUGGCGCCAUCGCGCGCAAAUGCGUACGUGCAGCGGCUCGCGGCAGUUAGGGCGCCAAUUCCGGCAAAGAGUUGGAUGCCCA